AACGCGGCGGACGUGAAAUGGACCGGCUUCGGAAUGAGUGGCACUGCGCAUCAUUUAACUGAAAAUGGCAGACCCGAAACAGGUCGAUUCUGAAACGGAUAUCGUCGCAUAUGUCUAUUUCGAUUGUUGUAUAUUCUACAACUAAUAUGCAUCGUGUGCGAGAACUUGAAAUGGAACUUUGACAAAUUAUGUGGAAGUGAUAAAAGUUUGGAAACUCAAAAGGCGGAGGACGACUAGGAAAGAGCUAGAUCAAGUAUCGGUGGAGCAACUUUGCAAAUCAUCGUAGCUACAUGUUUGAUAACUCCAUUGUUAUACAUCGGUCGUAUUAUCGUGACAAACCCAGCAACCCGGAUGUUCUGAGAGGAGGAGGAGGUCUGGGAGAGGCAUCGGGCCUCAGCGGAGCAACGUUGAG
rnacentral:lncRNA from 13 species